UUAAGCUCAACAACAAUAGUAUUAUUAAUCCCAGCAAUAACAUUAGCCAACUCCUAGAUUUAAUACUGGACUAUUCUAUUACUAAAUAGAAGCAAUAAUGUUAAUAUGAGUAACAAGAAAUAUUUUCUCCUCGCACAAGUUUAAGUCAGUAACUGAAAAAACCCUGACCGUUAACAGUAAAUAAAAAUAACCCAACAAUAAAUGAUUUAUUACUUAUACUGUUAACCCAACACAGGAGUGCACCCAGGAAAGAUUCAAAGAAGUAAAAGGAACUCGGCAAACACUAAACCCCGCCUGUUUACCAAAAACAUCACCUCCAGCAUCCCUAGUAUUGGAGGCACUGCCUGCCCAGUGACUAAACGUUAAACGGCCGCGGUAUUCUGACCGUGCAAAGGUAGCAUAAUCAUUUGUUCUCUAAAUAAGGACUUGUAUGAAUGGCCACACGAGGGUUUUACUGUCUCUUACUUCCAAUCAGUGAAAUUGACCUCCCCGUGAAGAGGCGGGGAUAAAUCAACAAGACGAGAAGACCCUAUGGAGCUUUAAC
rnacentral:rRNA from 1 species